GAUUAUGGCUCAGGACGAACGCUGGCGGCGUGCCUAACACAUGCAAGUCGAGCGAGGAGAUCCUCGGGAUGAUCCUAGCGGCGGACGGGUGAGUAACACGUGGGCAACCUGCCUCAUAGAGAGGAAUAGCCUUCCGAAAGGGAGAUUAAUACCUCAUAACAUUGCAGUUUCGCAUGGAACAGCAAUUAAAGGAGUAAUCCGCUAUGAGAUGGGCCCGCGGCGCAUUAGCUAGUUGGUGAGGUAAUGGCUCACCAAGGCGACGAUGCGUAGCCGACCUGAGAGGGUGAUCGGCCACAUUGGGACUGAGACACGGCCCAGACUCCUACGGGAGGCAGCAGUGGGGAAUAUUGCACAAUGGGGGAAACCCUGAUGCCAGCAACGCCGCGUGAGUGAUGACGGCCUUCGGGUUGUAAAGCUCUGUCUUCAGGGACGAUAAUGACGGUACCUGAGGAGGAAGCCACGGCUAACUACGUGCCAGCCGCGGC
rnacentral:rRNA from 1 species